UUGAGGAGGUUGCUGCUGUGAUCACAGCAGUCCCACUGCAGGGCAUAGCGGCUGGGUUACCACUUGUCAGAAUGUCUCCUCAGUUUACUAUUGGCGAAACAUGACCCAGGACAUGAAACAUUAUAUUGAAACAUGUAGUAAGUGCCAGCACUACACGCCAAUGAAGACAAAGGCCCCAGAGAUGCGUCCCAUAAAGGUGAAGGAGCCGUUGGAACUUAUAGGAGUCGACUUGGUCGGUGGGGCAAGCCUGCAAGGAUCCUGACUGAUCACGGACGUGAGUUUUGUUCCUCGAUCAACGACGAACUCUGCAAGUUCUACGGGAUCCGGAGGAGUAUCACGUCUGCCUACCAUCCGCAGACUAAUGGACUGGCAGAGAGAAUUAACCAGACUCUGGAGACCAGGCUUUCCAAGCUCUGCAACGCGACCAAGACCGACUGGCCAAACUUCCUGGAUGAAGUCGCCUAUAGCAUCCGUACCCAAAAGCAGCGGACCACCGGGUUCACACCUUUCCGGUUGAUGUUUGCUCGUGAGCACCGGCCACUUCACCAGGAAGAAAUUACAUUUGCUCCUGAGGCUUCUGCACAACCAGAGGGAAGGAGUACCACACCAGAAUUUCUUUUUGUUACAGUUCUUUGAAGAACUUGUUGAACUGCCCUCUUCCGAGGACAUUGCGGAGUGUGUCAAAGAGCAGGACCAGAGGCGUGAAGAACUGCACUCCAAGCGGGAACAGAGAGUUGAAGCAGCCCAAGAAAAGCAGAAGGCUGAGUACAGGAACAGGAAAGCAAGAGGAGUGAAGACCUUCAGCUUCUCUGUAGGGAUGAAGGUUCUUAAAAGAAACCUUCGCAAUGAGACUCGGAAGGGUGGGAUAAUGGAGCAGAAGUGGACUGGUCCAUACAAAGUCCUUGACAUCGACUCCUCAAACCGUGUGGCACUUGAGGCUGUGAGCAAUGGGAAGAAGCUCAAGAGCCGUACUCCAUACAACAACCUGAGGCCAUUCCUCCAGAGCCAGUUGCACUGUGACAGACACUUAUUGGACCACAGAGAUGGACUGCAGCCCUCCAGCAUUCAGGGACCUGUGCAGCCAUCACCUGACACCUCACAGUGCCUUUGCUGGACCUUCCUCAUCUACAAAUGUUGUUGAUGAUGACCUGUUUCCCUCGAUGAGUACGACAAUAAUCGAGGUGUCAGAGGAGUGAACCAACAGGAGAAGUGCCCCCAUCAUCGGCCUCAUCCAGUGUCCGACGACCCAGUGCCCUUAAACCCCAAAGGUCAACUUCCCUUCCUGCCAGUAGAAGUGGUAGUAGACCAGCAACUCCCACAGCAGCAGGUCACGAGUUACAACUGGUUCCUGAGUUCCUUACUACCCAAAAGGAAAUUCGAGGUCUGCUGAAGGACCUGGUGGAGGAGCAACGGACGAAUGGAAACCAUCUACGGGAUAUCGCCCGAGAUUUUACUGAAAUGGGGAAUUUAGGCAACCAUGUACAGGAUAUUGGCCAAAGUCUUUGGGAAAUAGGCGAGGCACUGAUGGCCAUAACGGGGGCUAUCAGUUCAAGAAAGUAGUUUUUUUUUAAAGUUAUUAUUUUCAUAAAUUAAGAUUUGAAUAUUUCUAUAAAAGAAUAGUUUAUAUAAUCAUUUUCAUUAUUAACUUUAAGAUCUUUGAUGGUGUUUGUCAAGCCAAUGCAUACCACAGAGGGGGGAUAUCCAGCACGACAGGAAUCAUUCCAUAUUUUUUUUCUUAGUGCAUUAUGAUAUGCCACUAUAAAGAAAAAUUCAGAGAGAACCAUCAUACACUGAACUUUAAUUUUUGCCAAGUUGUGUUAUAUUUUAUAUUUUUUAAAAUUCAGCACGUCAUGUUUUCUAUCUUGCCUGUAUAAUGUUCAUGAACAGGACGUUACCUGCCUUGCGUAUAGUCCUAACAUCAUUUACAGAUGCCGGACCACAGGUAUCAUCAUCUUCAGUGUAGGACGGUUCUUUCCUGGCCAUUUUCUAGUGGAACAUCAUGAUGCAUAAAGAGAUAAAAAAUAUCAAAAGCAUAUUUUGCAUCUUCAAUGACAUAGUUUCCAACCGUGUAAUUCAGGUAACAUUUUUUUACUAAAAACAGCCUUACAUAUGCAAUUCAUAAACAGUGUGCCUAAAAAGGUAUAAUUAACCCAGUAGCAGCGACGGGCCAAAUGUGUGCCA